AGCUUCUGCCUCUGAGGACGAGGAGGUUCAGUACUCUAGUGUCAGAUUCACUCGCAGUGGUGCUGACUACAGGCCUUCCAAUGAUGAGGAUCCCACUGUGAUCUACAGCAGAGUGAAAUAAACAACAUUCACCCAUUUAUUCAACAUCACCACAACUUCCACCUGGUCAUAGUGGAAUGCUUCUAGAAACUCUCCAGAUGGACAUCAUCACAUGAUUUACCUAUGAUUUGAAUCAAUUUUCAAAAUAAAGAAGAAGCAGGUUUAAGACUGUAUGAUUUUUAGAGG